rnacentral:rRNA from 1 species
ACUCCUACGGGAGGCAGCAGUGGGGAAUAUUGCACAAUGGGCGCAAGCCUGAUGCAGCCAUGCCGCGUGUAUGAAGAAGGCCUUCGGGUUGUAAAGUAACUUUCAGUCAGUGAGGGAAGGAUGGAGUCGUUAAUAGCGGCCUCAUUUGACGUUAGCUGCAGAAGAAGCACCGGCUAACUCCGUGCCAGCAGCCGCGGUAAUACGGAGGGUGCGAGCGUUAAUCGGAAUUACUGGGCGUAAAGCGCAUGUCAGGUGGUUUGUUAAGUCAGAUGUGAAAGCCCGGGGCUCAACCUCGGAAUAGCAUUUGAAACUGGCAGACUAGAGUACUGUAGA